rnacentral:RNase_P_RNA from 2 species
AGGAGAAGGCGGAUGGCUGACGGUAGGCGGGCUUCCAUGCCCGCCGGCUGAGGAAAGUCCCCUCUCCAUGAGAAAGUGGGCUGCCAGAGCAGCAGGGCGAGAGUCCUGGCAAGGGCGCAGAAACGACACAGCCGCGGGAUAACGUCAUGAUUCCCUCGGGGAUGAAGUCUCCCGCGGAUUUGGUGAAACGGCGACUCCCCACUGGAGCAAGCUCAAACGGCCGGAUCGAUCUCUCAUCGUCGGCGGGUAGAGUGCAAUAGUCGAAUGCCAUCACCGUCGCAAGACGGGAACAGAAAGGGGCUUAUGUCCUUCACCU